GCGGCAUGCCUUACACAUGCAAGUCGAACGGCAGCAUGAUCUAGCUUGCUAGAUUGAUGGCGAGUGGCGAACGGGUGAGUAAUACAUCGGAACGUGCCCUGUAGUGGGGGAUAACUAGUCGAAAGAUUAGCUAAUACCGCAUACGACCUGAGGGUGAAAGUGGGGGACCGCAAGGCCUCAUGCUAUAGGAGCGGCCGAUGUCUGAUUAGCUAGUUGGUGAGGUAAAGGCUCACCAAGGCGACGAUCAGUAGCUGGUCUGAGAGGACGAUCAGCCACACUGGGACUGAGACACGGCCCAGACUCCUACGGGAGGCAGCAGUGGGGAAUUUUGGACAAUGGGCGAAAGCCUGAUCCAGCAAUGCCGCGUGUGUGAAGAAGGCCUUCGGGUUGUAAAGCACUUUUGUCCGGAAAGAAAUGGCUCUGGUUAAUACCUGGGGUCGAUGACGGUACCGGAAGAAUAAGGACCGGCUAACUACGUGCCAGCAGCCGCGGUAAUACGUAGGGUCCAAGCGUUAAUCGGAAUUACUGGGCGUAAAGCGUGCGCAGGCGGUUGUGCAAGACCGAUGUGAAAUCCCCGAGCUUAACUUGGGAAUUGCAUUGGUGACUGCACGGCUAGAGUGUGUCAGAGGGGGGUAGAAUUCCACGUGUAGCAGUGAAAUGCGUAGAGAUGUGGAGGAAUACCGAUGGCGAAGGCAGCCCCCUGGGAUAACACUGACGCUCAUGCACGAAAGCGUGGGGAGCAAACAGGAUUAGAUACCCUGGUAGUCCACGCCCUAAACGAUGUCAACUAGUUGUUGGGGAUUCAUUUCCUUAGUAACGUAGCUAACGCGUGAAGUUGACCGCCUGGGGAGUACGGUCGCAAGAUUAAAACUCAAAGGAAUUGACGGGGACCCGCACAAGCGGUGGAUGAUGUGGAUUAAUUCGAUGCAACGCGAAAAAACCUUACCUACCCUUGACAUGCCACUAACGAAGCAUGAGAUGCAUUAGGUGCUCGAAAGAUGAAAGUGGACACAGGUGCUGCAUGGCUGUCGUCAGCUACGUGCUCGUGAGAUGUUGGGUUAAGUCCCGCAACGAGCGCAACCCUUGUCUCGUAGUUGCUUACGAA
rnacentral:rRNA from 1 species